CAAUAGCGUAUAUUAAAGUUGUUGCAGUUAAAAAGCUCGUAGUUGGAUUUGUGGCUGUCGCUGGCCUUUCUUCACUAUGUGUUGAUAUGGUUUGGCGUCGCCAUCCUUGGGUGGAGCCUGUGUGGCAUUAGGUUGUCGUGCAGGGGAUGCCCAUCGUUUACUGUGAAAAAUUAGAGUGUUCAAAGCAGGCUUAUGCCGUUGAAUAUAUUAGCAUGGAAUAAUAAGAUAGGACCUUGGUACUAUUUUGUUGGUUUGCGCACCAAGGUAAUGAUUAAUAGGGUCAGUUGGGGGUAUUCGUAUUCCAUUGUCAGAGGUGAAAUUCUUGGAUUUUUGGAAGACGAACUACUGCGAAAGCAUUUACCAAGGAUGUUUUCAUUAAUCAAGAACGAAAGUUAGGGGAUCGAAGAUGAUCAGAUACCGU
rnacentral:rRNA from 1 species